rnacentral:lncRNA from 1 species
CAGCUCCCAUAUUCCCAGAAUCCACUUGGCUCACCUCCCACCUUUACCUGCUUUAUGUCAUUUUCCGUAUAAAAAGGGGAACGCUCCUCCCUCUCUCUUUUUGUUCCCUUUCCUCUUUCUGCUGCCACCUCCCCCCUCCAAAUAAACCUCUUACACUUAGAGCUGUUUGGCCCAGUGUGCUGUGUUCAGACGUGAGCCAAGACUGUAACACGUCAGUUGGAUCCUCCAGAGAUCUCAUGUUGGUUGCUCAGGGCAGGCCAGCCACCUGUGUUGAGUAAACCUCCUGGAGUGACCGGUGCCAGCCUGACCAGCAGUCCUUGAAGCUCUGAGAUUCCUACAGAAGCAGCUAUAGGAGGUCGAGCACAGGACUCCCUCCAUGGCUUCAUGUCUGACCAAUCCAAACAAAGCCAAACUGGAGGAGGAGAAGCACCCAAGAGCUCUGUUCCAGGUGUUAGCUUUUUUCAGAGAGCUGUGACUCUGGACUAUAUAAAAGGAUUUGCUACUGAGAUGCUAUGACAAUUGCUAAAUUAUGCAGCCAGUAAGCUGGGAAUGCCUGGCCCUUCGCUGUGGGAGGUAAUGAAGAUGAUUCCUGAAAACGGCUUAGAUGACCCAUUGCCAAGACAUUUCUAGCUUGAGGGGAGAGUAAAAUCCUGUUCGCAGCAUGGCCACGAGGAAGGAAGGAAGGAUGGGGCUGCUCGCGGAACAAGCAAGGAUCCAGGCCCAAGUUCCCUGCGUUCUUUCCCCCCAGUCUUGCUGAACAGUAAUGAGAGCAGAGAUAUGUCCCAGAGCUGGAAGAUUCGCCGAUGGACCUUGAGACCAGGCAAGGGCAUCUCUGUGGCCCAGCACCCUGAACUGCGUCUGGCACAGGCUGUCUGCCCACCUCACGAUUGUUAGCUGAGAACCAUCAAAUGGAAUUUUAUAAGAAAAUAAGGACCAAGACUGUUCUAUCCUCCAGGGCAAACGGAAAUUCACCGGAUUUCAACUGCACUGGAAUUUGGCGCAUUCAAGCAAUAGUGACUGAAUCAGUUUUUCACCCCUACACGCAGUGUCCGUGGAUUUC